rnacentral:rRNA from 1 species
UACAGAGGUCUCAAGCGUUGUUCGGAUUCAUUGGGCGUAAAGGGCGCGUAGGCGGCGUGGCAAGUCGGGGGUGAAAUCUCAGAGCUCAACUCUGAAACUGCACUCGAUACUGCUUUGCUUGAGGACUGGAGAGGAGAUUGGAAUUCACGGUGUAGCAGUGAAAUGCGUAGAUAUCGUGAGGAAGACCAGUGGCGAAGGCGGAUCUCUGGACAGUUCCUGACGCUGAGGCGCGAAGGCCAGGGGAGCAAACGGG